AAGCAAAAUUGCAUAUCACAGUGCUGGCAGCUGAGUCCAUAUGGGUGCAAGGGGUAUUCACUCAUCUCUUUGUAUGCUGGCAGUACCAAACCGAAGUUUAGCACUGUGCAGCUGAGAUUUUGUGCAGCCAGACGAUGCAUGAGUUGCAAUUGCUCAGAAGCUUUUCAGCUGAUUGCAACAGUGUGAUUUUAGAUCUGUUCCUAAUCUGGGAGGCGUUUUCCUCAGGAAACCUGAACUUAGAUGAGUUACGAAGAGGAUUUCCUUAUCUCGAACAGCGACAAUUAUUUCAAGAGCCACAUGGGAGCAGGCAGUUGAUUUUUGGACAGCCUCUGAACUUAUGCAAAGUUGCUGACAACGAGUGUGUUCUAGCUUUUGGAAAUCCUAUAAUCCUGGCUUCAAUCAAGAGGAUCUGCUGUUGCUGAAGGCGUAAACAAGGAGAGAAGCAGCAUGUGACCAGUGCUCCUGCACCUUCAAGGACUCCUGAGCUAAAACAAGUGCAACAGUAAAGCUUCUGCUGGAUACUCAAAAUGACACACACGUUUUGGAUGAUCCUGGUGAAGAUCCUGCAGGAAAGUUGUCUUUGGACUCUGCAUUUUCCCCUGUAGCUGUGUUGUGUAUAUUUCUCCCCACUCCCCUCUCACUCCUUUGAUUUUCUUCUUGCCAUCUGUAUUCCCCUUUUGCCUCAUCUGAAACAAGCAUCAAGAUCUUGUUUCUGACAGAACGGUCUGUCAAUAUGGAAACACACUGACAUCACAGACAGUGCUGUGACUUCAUGUCUGAAGGAAACAGGAGGAACAGAUGAAAGGAGUGAAGGGAAUGGAAUGACACAUGCAAACAUUUUUAAAAAAAUAAGUAAAAAUUCUUCUCUAUCAAUCCGAAAUGUAAAGGAACAUAAAACAGAUUUAUUUUUAAGCCUAAAUAUAACCAACUAUUUCUUAAUCUGUGACCAUAACUCAGCACAUUUCAACAUGCUUUUCACCCAAGAGUGGUAACUCUCCCUUGCGAGUGUGUGACAGCCAACACGACCUCUUGAGGAAGACUAAAUGGGGACUGAUCUGGAAAAAAGCUUGUAUCAAGCGUAGUGCUGAUACCUGGCAAAAGCCUUUAGAGGGAAAUAAGGACUCCCGUCCCUGGACUAAUGUAAAACAUCUCAGUAAAUGCAAAUUCAUACAAUUAAAGUAUUUAUCAAAACCACAAACUCAGUUCUGAUGCAGCUGGAUCAAAGGUAGCAUUACCCCACUGAUGGGGGGGGUACAAGAUGUACCCAGAAAAUAUUCAUAUUAUACAGGCAGAAAGGAUUGGUCUUGGCACAGCAAUUGUGGGGAUUUAAGGAUAUGCUAAACUGAUAACUGCAGAAUGAGCUCUGACAUAGGAUAUUGGUCUCCUCCUGUUACCUAAAUGCCAGGUGAAACCAAAGGAUUUCUAGAAGGGUCUGAAACCAUUGUCUUGAGUGGCUGAUACCAUACAAAGAAGAAUUGUUGAGAUGCCUGAAACCUAAUUACUUGAAGAGCCCCCUCCAUAGGUGUUAUCUUUUAUCAGUGCCUUCAGUGGUGCAACUGGACACUGGUUGGCUUUGCUUUAGGACAUUAUUUGAGAUAUGGCUAAGCUGAUAUUAACACAAAUCAUAACCCCAUUGCAACUUUUCUGUGUAUUCAGAAACAUCUGCCAUAGUUGCAUCAUUCCCCAUCUUUAAGAUGUCCUGUUUUGCUAUAAGUAAAAUGUAUUUCAGGCUCUCUGGUCCUGUAAGAAACAAUCCUUUAGAUUUCUACAUGCAACCUUGCUCCCAAUGUAGGUAAAGUAGGAAGAGGAGUGGAGAAGGACCCAAAGACCACAAGUAGGAACUGUGGGAUUGCUCCAGUUUCUAUGUUUAAGGUCUAAAGGUUUUGGGAAGAGAGAGAGAGAGAAGCCAGCAAGUGAAAAUGAUGAAGCUCUACACACUUCCAUCAUUAGCUUGGUCAGAAAUUGGAGGCUGAGAACUGGUGUGACUUGGGUGCACUAUUUAUUUGUAUAGGCAAAGGCAAGCCUCAUAUCCCCUCCUUUUAAGUUUGUAGGUAACAUCAUGGAACUGAGGACUACGUUUGGGUUCCAAGACUGCAGUGUCACACACCAUAGGAAACUAAUCUUUGAAUCUAUGCUUUUCAGUUUUACUUUUUUUCUCCCAGUUUCUGAUGAGGAUUUGCUGUAAGUGACUCAUAGUGAAAAAUAAGAUUUUACUAUUAAUCAGGAAGGAUAGACAAGUCCUCAAAGUCUCCCUGGAAAUUGCUGUCUUGCAUAGGACCUAUUGAGUCCAACAGUGCUGGUGGACUUUCAGGCAGCAGUGCUAAAUCAGUGUCUUUUAUCAUCUAUAGCUACAUAAAAGACUGCGACUUCUCCUUCCUAAUGAGAGACUUCUGUAAUGCUCUCUGCUUAGGGCUAUUCUUGAGGAAUAAGGAAUCCAAGACAGAUGUGGCAGUGACCAUCAUAUUAAUCUCAAAGACCAAAUCCCUCAAAGCAAAGGAAAUAUGAACAAUUAAAACAAUAAAUACACUGAAUCAUAGGAAUUUCCAGGGCCCUCAGUACUAACUCCAGUUCCACACAUUAAUUUGUAAUUCUUGAGCCAUGAAAAAGUAAAUCCUCUUUUGUUUAGAGAACAAGAUUAAAAUGCUACUAAUAUUGAAACCACUCCUGUUUGCUGGCUCAUGUGUCUAUUUAAAUACCUGCCUAUUUCUUUGCUUCACCUUGAGUGUCAAACUUGUCCUCUUGAUAAUACCAGCUGAAUGGCAGCCAGCUGGCUGAACGGUGUAGGUAGAUACCUAGAGAAGUGCUUUGCGAAGGGCUGAGCUGUAGGUAAGCAAAUUUUGUUAUCAAGAUAGUAUAAUCCUUUGAAGUGGCUCUGGAUUAUUGAACACUUUACAGCAAGGUAACACUUCGGUGACUUCAAGAUAUAUUUACACUCUUGUGUAAUCUAUGCACUGGACAUCACAUCAUGAAGGAGAAAUCUCUGAAUGUAGUUUAUUCAAAAUACAUCACUAGAAACAUCCUUUUUGCAGUUAACUGGUCAUACAGGCACAGGAACUUUGGAGGUGAAGUCUAUAGCACUUUUGUCUCCUUGUGUGGUUUCUUUUCUUUUUCAAAACAGGUUUUGAAGAUCUGCAGGAGUCUUAGUUGAUCAAAAAACCCAACACAGAAGAAUGCAGAAAAAAUGCUGAGUCCUCAGGAAGGGGGACCAAUGACUAAUAAAUGAGGUGUUUCCUCCUUCAGUAUAAGUCACCUACUGGCAUCAAUAAGAAGCAGAAGAAAGACGUUCUCCUAUUUACAUGAGAUAAUACAGACAAAUAGCUACAUGAAGUAGGUAAAAUGAAGAAUCCAAGUCCUUCCUCAUCAGCUUUCUGUUGAGCCUGUGUCAAGAUCUACAUUGCAAUAUUCCCAUUUCAGAAACCCCAGACUUCGAAUCAUAGAAUCACUAAGGUUGGAAAAGACCUUUAAGAUCAUUGAGUCCAGCCAUUAACCCACCGCUGCCAAGUCCAGCACUAAACUAUGUCCCCAAACGCCACAUCUGCAUCUCAAAUCCCUCCAGGGAUGACGACUCCACCACUUCCCUGGACAUCCUGUUCCGGUGCAACCCUUUUGGUGAAGGAAUUGUUCCUAAUCUCCAAUCUAAACUUUUUCUGGUGCAACUUGGGGCAAUUUCCUCUUGUCCUAUCCCUUGUUACUUUAGAGAAGAGUCCAACCACCACCUGGCUACAACCUCCUUUCAGGUAGUUGUAAUCUAUUUAAUAAAAUCCUUGCAAUCUAACUAAACUAUGAACCUGAUGCUCAGCUAGGAAGGGACAAGAGCAGAUCUCUGGGGUUGAUGCUGGAGCUUUGGUAGCCCUGGCUUGCAUGGGACACACUCUCCUGCCUGCAUAACCUUCCCUUUCUCCCAGCUUGAGCCAGGUCAUGGCAAUGCAAAACCUGUCACACCAUCGGUUUAUUUUCCACUGGAUAAAAAUUAUUCUCAUAUACUCUGCAGACAGCAGAUACUAAAGAAGCCCUGAACAGAACAUGAAGAGCUAUGAGUAUACCCACAAAUGCAUGUUUACACAAAAUGUUGUUCCAAUAUAUUUGGAAAAUAAAGAGAGAUGAAUCUGUCA